AUUGAACGCUGGCGGCAGGCUUAACACAUGCAAGUCGAGCGGGGGAAGGUAGCUUGCUACCGGACCUAGCGGCGGACGGGUGAGUAAUGCUUAGGAAUCUGCCUAUUAGUGGGGGACAACAUCUCGAAAGGGAUGCUAAUACCGCAUACGUCCUACGGGAGAAAGCAGGGGAUCUUCGGACCUUGCGCUAAUAGAUGAGCCUAAGUCGGAUUAGGUAGUUGGUGGGGUAAAGGCCUACCAAGGCGACGAUCUGUAGCGGGUCUGAGAGGAUGAUCCGCCACACUGGGCCUGAGACACGGCCCAGACUCCUACGGGAGGCAGCAGUGGGGAAUAUUGGACAAUGGGGGGAACCCUGAUCCAGCCAUGCCGCGUGUGUGAAGAAGGCCUUAUGGUUGUAAAGCACUUUAAGCGAGGAGGAGGCUACUCUAGUUAAUACCUAGGGAUAGUGGACGUUACUCGCAGAAUAAGCACCGGCUAACUCUGUGCCAGCCGCCGCGGUAACAC
rnacentral:rRNA from 1 species